UAAAGGCUUACCAAGGCUUCGAUCAGUAGCUGGUCUGAGAGGAUGAUCAGCCACAUUGGGACUGAGACACGGCCCAAACUCCUACGGGAGGCAGCAGUGGGGAAUAUUGGACAAUGGGCGCAAGCCUGAUCCAGCAAUGCCGCGUGGGUGAAGAAGGUCUUCGGAUUGUAAAGCCCUUUUGGCAGGGACGAUGAUGACGGUACCUGCAGAAUAAGCCCCGGCUAACUUCGUGCAGCAGCCGCGGUAAUACGAAGGGGGCUAGCGUUGCUCGGAAUGACUGGGCGUAAAGGGCGCGUAGGCGGUUUGUACAGUCAGAUGUGAAAUUCCUGGGCUCAACCUGGCGACUGCAUUUGAGACGUAUGGACUAUAGUGGAGAAGAGGGUUGUGGAAUUUCCAGUGUAGAGGUGAAAUU
rnacentral:rRNA from 1 species